GAUGAACGCUGGCGGCGUGCUUAACACAUGCAAGUCGAACGGGAUCCAUCAAGCUUGCUUGGUGGUGAGAGUGGCGAACGGGUGAGUAAUGCGUGACCGACCUGCCCCAUACACCGGAAUAGCUCCUGGAAACGGGUGGUAAUGCCGGAUGCUCCAGUUGAUCGCAUGGUCUUCUGGGAAAGCUUUCGCGGUAUGGGAUGGGGUCGCGUCCUAUCAGCUUGACGGCGGGGUAACGGCCCACCGUGGCUUCGACGGGUAGCCGGCCUGAGAGGGCGACCGGCCACAUUGGGACUGAGAUACGGCCCAGACUCCUACGGGAGGCAGCAGUGGGGAAUAUUGCACAAUGGGCGCAAGCCUGAUGCAGCGACGCCGCGUGAGGGAUGGAGGCCUUCGGGUUGUAAACCUCUUUUAUCGGGGAGCAAGCGAGAGUGAGUUUACCCGUUGAAUAAGCACCGGCUGACU
rnacentral:rRNA from 1 species